GACGAACGCUGGCGGCGUGCCUAAUACAUGCAAGUAGAACGCACAGUUUAUACCGUAGCUUGCUACACCAUAGACUGUGAGUUGCGAACGGGUGAGUCACGCGUCGGUAACCUGCCUGGUAGCUGGGGAUAACUAUUGGAAACGAUAGCUAAUACCGCAUAAUAUUAAUUAUUGCAUGAUAAUUCAUUGAAAGUUGCAAUUGCACCACUACCAGAUUGACCUGCGUUGUAUUAGCGAGUAGGUGAGGUAACGGCUCACCUAGGCGACGAUACAUAGCCGACCUGAGAGGGUGAUCGGCGACACUGGGACUGAGACACGGCCCAGACUCCUACGGGAGGCAGCAGGAGGGAAUAGGCGGCAAUGGACGAAAGUCGGACCGAGCAACGCCGCGUGAGUGAAGAAGGUUUUCGGAUCGUAAAGCUCUGUUGUAAGAGAAGAACGGGUGUGAGAGUGGAAAGUUCACAAUGCGAAGGUAUCUUACCAGAAAGGGACGGCUAACUACGUG
rnacentral:rRNA from 1 species